rnacentral:lncRNA from 1 species
GUGCAAGUAAUUACAACAAUUGUGUAUUUGCCUUAAAGUUGAAGUGCCUUAUUGUCUCUAAGCCUUAUUUUUGUCUUUUAAGGCUCGCCAAGCUCCUUAUACUGACGUUAGGGAAAUUAUAUGACUUAAACAACUAUUGUCUACAUACUAGACUUCAUUUGUAGUUGAAUCAACAUGUUUAACGUCAUAUACCAUGAAUAACCUCUUAUUCUUUAUCUUUU